rnacentral:rRNA from 1 species
GUAGGGUGCAAGCGUUAAUCGGAAUUACUGGGCGUAAAGCGUGCGCAGGCGGCUUUGCAAGACAGAUGUGAAAUCCCCGGGCUUAACCUGGGAACUGCGCUUGUAACUGAUAGGCUGGAGUGUGGCAGAGGGGGGUGGAAUUCCAGGUGUAGCAGUGAAAUGCGUAGAGAUCUGGAGGAACACCGAUGGCGAAGGCAGCCCCCUGGGCUAACAGUGACGCUCAUGCACGAAAGCGUGGGGAGCAAACAGGACUAGAUACCCUGGUAGUCCACGCCCUAAACUAUGUCAACUGGUUGUCGGGGAAGCAAUCCCUUGGUAACGAAGCUAACGCGUGAAGUUGACCGCCUGGGGAGUACGGCCGCAAGGUUG